CCUACGGGGGGCAGCAGUCGAGAAUCAUUCACAAUGGGGGAAACCCUGAUGGUGCGACGCCGCGUGGGGGAAUGAAGGUCUUCGGAUUGUAAACCCCUGUCAUGUGGGAGCAAAGUAAAAAGAUAGUACCACAAGAGGAAGAGACGGCUAACUCUGUGCCAGCAGCCGCGGUAAUACAGAGGUCUCAAGCGUUGUUCGGAAUCACUGGGCGUAAAGCGUGCGUAGGCUGUUUCGUAAGUCGUGUGUGAAAGGUGCGGGCUCAACCCGCGGACGGCACAUGAUACUGCGAGACUAGAGUAAUGGAGGGGGAACCGGAAUUCUCGGUGUAGCAGUGAAAUGCGUAGAUAUCGAGAGGAACACUCGUGGCGAAGGCGGGUUCCUGGACAUUAACUGACGCUGAGGCACGAAGGCCAGGGGAGCGAAAGGGAUUAGAUACCCGAGUAGUC
rnacentral:rRNA from 1 species